CAACUAGACAAUCAGCGACUGAAAGUAUCUCAAGUGGAAGAAGCUAUCAUGUGAACAUAGACUCAGUAUCAAGACAAUAGAUGAUUCAUACUCAACAAUUGUAGAUCUAGAUCUGUAGAGCUGCAAAAUAAUACAAGAAAAUGUUGUCUAUUGCAUCGUAGAUAGUAGAGGAAGGGGGAUUGUGAACGAGAUCACGUGCGCUAUAGAUCAUACAUGAGAGCUGAGGUCUAUCCGCGUUAGACCGCGAAUUGACUAAUUUUGAGCGGGCUAAAGACUUUUCAGAGUUUUACUCGGUUCUAAAGGUGUGAUUGUAAACAAUGGGCAUGGGAAGUCAGAAAUUGCGUUUUUUUCAGCAAAAGAAAAGCAAGAAGCAGCAGACAUCCCCCGUCUGCUCUCAUCAGCCUUUACCUGAGUCGACCAGCAACUCUUGAAUCUCUCCACUUCUUGGUUGCCAAGUCAGUGUUGAACUAAUUGCCGUCAAGAACGUGCUCACCAUUGUCAAGCUGCCAAGAGUUGAUGUCAUCGUCACCUCGUGUGUUCAGUGCCAGCUCAUUUGGAAUUUGUCAGUACGUUCUGAAUAUACCCUUACACCCCCUCUCUCCUCAUCACUCCAGUUCUUUCAACCUAAGUUACCAGCGUGCUGUGCUAUUUUGAUUGAGAUACAUCGAUUCCCUGAACUUUUGUGAUGAAAAUCCUGGCCUUAAAUGUUUAAUUAGAUUUGUGAAAGCAUUACUCUUCUACACUUAUUAUAUAGUUGAUCAGGUAAGUUCUGUCAAAAAAUUGUUCACGAACCGUUACCCAAACGCAGAAGACCGGACUCUGACAACACAUUCUGACUCAUAUCGUUCAUAAUGUACGUGUAUCUUUACAAUGUCAUAGCUUGUCUGCAGUUCAUAAUAAUGUUAUAUAGAUGAUGAGUUGUCAUGGAUAUUUUAUAUUGUAUAA